rnacentral:lncRNA from 1 species
UUACAAAACAUGAAUUUAUUUACAAGCAAAAUGAAACCAUGAUAUCUGAACAAACUUCUUAAAAAGGAAAACAAGUCUUUUAUUCUUAUAAAUAGAUGUACUUUAAAAUCAGUGACAUAAACCCACAAUUUUAGAAGUAAAAUAAGCUUCUCCAUUUUACAGAACAGUUAUCUAAUAAAAUAUAAAACUUAAAAGCAUCUACAACAUUUGUAGGUUUUUUUCAAAAAAGGAUUAAGCUUUUCCAGUCAAAAUUUUAAAAAAAUUCCAAAGUAUAUCAUGUUUGACAAUUUGCUUCCAAAUGGGAGUCUCUUUAGAGAAACUAAGUAACAAUUUUCAAACAACUAUGCCCCUCCAUUUGGUAGCUGGAAUCAUCUAAUUAAAACAAAGGUCUUUACUUCAAUGUAAAUAUGGCUAACACUCCAAUCCUGAUGGGUAUUUUUUCCCCUCCCUUAAAUUCAUAAGUACGUACAUAUUUCACUCCGAGACACCAUCACCAAAACAGAAAUGGAGGAUAACAUGGCAGAUGGAAGAUUACCUGGCUCUGGAAUAGCCGAAACUGGUGUGGGCCUCAUAUUCCUGACUUAUAAAAACAGAGAGUAUAAUCAUUCCUCAUGCUUACUUCGAAUUUUAAACUUUGCUAUGAAUUUGAAGAUAGACUUGAAUUUGAAGGUAGACUUCAUGCUCUUCUCCCUCCCCCCCAUCAAUUGACAGCAGUUAACCUGGAUUCUGGAGUCAGCCUGCCUACAUAUGAAUCCCAGCUCAGCCAGUUAUUUCGCAAUCUUGGGAAAAAUAUUUAAUCUCCCUUUACUCAGUUUCUUCAUGUGUAGAGCAGAUAUAUUAAAAACAGUACUGAUCCCACAAUGUUGUUAUGAUCCAUAAAAAACGUGGGUAAAGCACUUACAUCUGUGGCUAAUACAACAAUAUAGGAGGUUUCAAAUUUGUCACCAUCAUCAUUCACUGAGUGUGGGAAAAGAUCUUGUCUAUGUCCUAUGAAGUAAAGAAUGCCAUAUGGGAAGAUAUAUUAGGUUAAAUCACCUAAGACAUUAUAAAACACAAAAUUAUAAAACGCAAAAAUGAUUGCUUUUUAUAUUUACCUUAGCUUCAUAUAAUUUAGAAAAUAUUGUGAAUAACAUUAUAAUAAAUAGACAUGGAUGACUAUAAAUUACUUUGUAGUUCAAAACUUAAAACUAUAAAAAAAGGUUUUAACUCAGAUUAAGAAAGUUUAAUUACCAGAACACUCAGAAAUGUAGUACAAUAUCACCACCUAGUGGAUACUGUAUUUAAAAACAUUUUAUAGAUCGUGCUUGCCCUAUUUAUCUUUAGGAGGAAAAUCCUUUUCAAAUAGAAGCACAUUCUCUUCACUAAUGUAAAGGGGAUUUAAAAAAAUAGAAAACAAAUUUAAACUAUAUUAGCAGUAAUCUUAAACACUAUAGCUAAAAAUACCUCCUACUAAGUUGUGUAUCUCAAAUUUACUUCUAAACAAGGUAGCAGAGUUAAAAGUACAAUUUUUGUUCGGAAAUUUAAAAUAUAUUGAGGACAGCAUGCAAUUCACCAGAAAUACUUCACCAUGACUUCUCAAUUAAUGCAAAAAAUAUUAGUUGUAACAAACAAUGAAUUUCACAUCACUGGGUUGUGAAGCAUCUUAAAAAAAAACAUUUUACACUACCUACUAAUCUGAAUCUCUUCUGAAGCAUUCCUGAUAAACAGAAAUCUUGCCAAUGAGUGGGGAAACUUGUUCUUUUCUGGAUCCAUUCCCAGCCAGAGACUAAGUAAGUAAAGAAUGUAUGUUUUGAAUCAGUUGAAAUCUGUUGGCCUUUGAUAUAAACUUUAGGGAAUAAACAAUAGUCCACUCCUUUUUCCAAAUAAUUACUCUUCAAUUAUCAGAGCUUAUCAAGUUGUAGGAUCUCUACUUCUCCAAGUUAAGCGUCCUGUAUAUUCGUUUAAAAGCCAUUUAUCUUACAACUGUUUGUGCACCUUUAAAUAGCUGCUAGCAUUUUAAAAAAUGACUUCAUUCAAUACAAAAAAAUAGUAUGUCAUGAAUGUUCCGGCUAAUGCAAAGUAAAGACAGAAUACAAAUUCUCUCUCCAC